rnacentral:rRNA from 2 species
UAACAGGAUUCCCCUAGUAACUGCGAGUGAAGCGGGAAAAGCUCAAAUUUAAAAUCUGGCGGUCUCUGACUGUCCGAGUUGUAAUCUAGAGAAGCGUUAUCCGCGCUGGACCGUGUACAAGUCUCCUGGAAUGGAGCGUCAUAGAGGGUGAGAAUCCCGUCUUUGACACGGACUGCCAGGGCUUUGUGAUGCGCUCUCAAAGAGUCGAGUUGUUUGGGAAUGCAGCUCAAAAUGGGUGGUAAAUUCCAUCUAAAGCUAAAUAUUGGCGAGAGACCGAUAGCGAACAAGUACCGUGAGGGAAAGAUGAAAAGAACUUUGGAAAGAGAGUUAAACAGUACGUGAAAUUGCUGAAAGGGAAACGCUUGAAGUCAGUCGCGUUGGCCAGGGAUCAACCUUGCUUUUGCUUGGUGUACUUUCUGGUUGACGGGUCAGCAUCAAUUUUGACUAUUGGAAAAAGGUCAAGGGAAUGUGGCAUCUUCGGAUGUGUUAUAGCCCUUGGUUGCAUACAAUGGUUGGGAUUGAGGAACUCAGCACGCCGCAAGGCCGGGUUUUAACCACGUACGUGCUUAGGAUGCUGGCAAAAUGGCUUUAAUCGACCCGUCUUGAAACACGGACCAAGGAGUCUAACAUGCCUGCGAGUGUUUGGGUGGAAAACCCGAGCGCGUAAUGAAAGUGAAAGUUGAGAUCCCUGUCGUGGGGAGCAUCGACGCCCGGACCAGACCUUUUGUGACGGUUCCGCGGUAGAGCAUGUAUGUUGGGACCCGAAAGAUGGUGAACUAUGCCUGAAUAGGGUGAAGCCAGAGGAAACUCUGGUGGAGGCUCGUAGCGAUUCUGACGUGCAAAUCGAUCGUCAAAUUUGGGUA